AUGAGAAAGAUAAUACUAAUAUUCCCUAUACAUCUGACAUUUAACUUUUAUGAGAUUCUUGGAUUCCUCAAAAUCAUGUCUAUUAGUGUUUCUUCAAUAUAUAUAUGCAUGAUCUUUCCUUUUGAAAUUCUCAUUAUGUACAUGAUUUUUGCUACUGCUGGCCUUGAAUUGGCACUGAUUUGGGCCACCUUGUUGAAUGAUUCGUGCACGCAUGUGUUUCGUUGGUCUUUUGCGAUAUGUGGGGAGCGUAAACUGGAAGAACGUGUGCAGCAGGCAUCGCUGCUGCGCUGGACGACGUUGUGUGAGGCCAUGGCCAUGGACGAUGUGAUGUUGGAGAACGGCGCAGGACUAAGGUUUCUUCUGUGUUGUUUUGCUUUAGUUUCGUAG
rnacentral:rRNA from 1 species